UUUGUUUUCAGUUUUCCUCUGUUUUUGUUUUUGUUUGCUUUCUUAACUAAAUAAAAAUUGCAUGCUUUAUAAUCAAAUUUUAUAAUCACUUAUUCUUAAUCUAAUCAAAACCCCCUAUUUCAUUUUCUUAUUUGGUUAAUUUAUCAAGAGUCCCCUCGAUACGAUACUCGAGUGUCGCUUCUCUAGACUACCGUUCUUAAUUACUCGUUUUUGACCAGUGUGUGACAGCGGAUCAAAU
rnacentral:lncRNA from 1 species